rnacentral:rRNA from 1 species
CUCAACUUUGUAAUCUGGCAGCUUCGCUGUCCGAGUUGUAGUCUCGAGAAAUGUUUUCCGCGCUGGCAUGUGUAUGAGUCUGUUGGAAUACAGCGUCAUAGAGGGUGAGAACCCCGUUCAUGACACAUCUCCCAGUGCUUUGUGAUACAUUUUCGAUGAGUCGAGUUGUUUGGGAAUGCAGCUCAAAAUGGGUGGUAAAUUCCAUCUAAAGCUAAAUAUUGGCGAGAGACCGAUAGCAAACAAGUACCGUGAGGGAAAGAUGAAAAGCACUUUGGAAAGAGAGUUAAAAGUACGUGAAAUUGUUGAAAGGGAAACGCUUGAAGUCAGACGUGCGCAGUGCGAUUCAGCUCUAUUUCGGUAGAGUGUAUUUCGUGCUAUUGCAGGCCAGCAUCGGUUUUGCGAGCCGGAUAAAGGUUAGUGGAAGGUAGCAUCUUCGGAUGUGUUAUAGCCUCUAACUGAAUACGGAUUGCGAGACCGAGGGACGCAGCACGGCGCAAGCCA